UUGCCAUGGGAACGCGCCGCCAUGAGCAGCUACACGGUGAUCGGGACGGUGCCGGGGCCGGCGGGCGGCGGGGGCCCGAGCCCCGGGGGCCGGUACCGCUCGGGCCUGGCCCCCAGCAGAGCCUUCGACUUCCUCUACGAUCCCUUGUAUGUGUUAUCAAGUGAGAAGGACCACGCAAAGGCAAAUGUCCAGGCUCAUCUCCUGUGUGACAAGAUGAAAAAGAUGCCGAUUUUUAAAACCAUGUUUAGCAGUCUGAUCCAUUAUCCCUGGUACGAUCUGCGUUUGGAGGAAAGAAAUCCCGUGCCCCCAUUUAUUGACCGAAGAUGGAGAGGCAGGGCCCAGCAGCGCCUAGAGGUUCUUCAGCAGCUUGCUAGAUCUCAACCUUCUCUUCAGAUUCCUCAAAUUGUGUAUGAAGAUCCUGAAAUUAAUGGAAGGAACCGCUACAAGUAUUUUGAACGACCUUUCAUCCCCUUUCAUAAGCCAUUUCCACUAAACAUUGCUUAUGCAGUGGCAAAAACAGAGCCAUAUGUUUACCCCUCCAUCACCGGUGACAGAUCACGCUCCCCCACAUCACGAACUCUGGGUACACAGACGGAUUAUCGGGAUGGCGAAGCUCAGACUGACCCGUAUUCCCCAGAAUAUGUAGUACCUCUGGGUUCAAUCCCUGAACUGCUGACACUUGCCAUUCUCACUUGGGGGCGGGGUCUUCCAGCAGGACAAGCUGAGGUGGAGAUGAUUGAACGUGCCCGGGAGAAACGUGCCUGGGAAGCAACUCUACCACCACUUAGUGAUCUCUCACAAACUGAGAAGAGGAGGAAGAUGAUGGAUGACAUGGAGAGAAAAGAGUGGGCCUUUAGAGAACAGGAAAUAGAAAAAUUGCAAGAUGUUCGACUAGAAGUUUUAAAGAAGCUUUUGAGGAGACGAGAGGAGGGUCAGAAUGAGGUGGAUGUCAAUCGUUUGGACACCCAUUGGUUUAACCGUCAGCAAGACAAAGAAGAGAGAGUGAGAAAAAUUAAACACGAACAUAUAAAAGCAAUGAGAAAGCUGAUAGCUAAAGGGAAGAAUGUGGAGGGGAAGUUGGUGAGACGAGAUGUCAUCAGGGACUAUACUGAUUAUGCAUCACAGCCCUAUGGACCUCUGUCCAGAAUUGGUUAUUUUCCGGACAACCAUUCUGAACGUUAUGUAGUAAAAAACCACUUUCUUAACACCUACGAGGGAUUGCUUGAACUGGAGGCAUCUCUCCCAGACUCUGUCACUCAGCCCUGGACCAAAGCUCCGAAACCCAAGACCACCACCACUAAAGAAGGGUUUAUUAAGCGGACUGCUAGGCUAGAUAUGGAGCUGGCACAGGUUCACCAGGCACUGCUAGAUAAGAAGAAUAAAGUUAAGGAGCCAAAGAAGCCCCUUCGUUUCCUUCAGAAGAUAACAAAACCUGUUCCUCGCCCCCUAACUCCAACACUGCUAAGACCGUCAAUUAGAGAAGAGGAGCUAGAACUGGCAGUAAUCUUUUUGCAGAAGUUAAUCCGAGGCAGAGCUAUUCAGAACAUGAUGUUUGAAGGGAAGGAGAAGCGAUUGGAACUGAUUCGGGAACUGCGCACCACUCACGCACUUCAGGAGGAUGGGAAUCUGCUUAAGAAGGCAGAGAAACAAGUAACGCUGGCCUUACAGCGACAACGCGACUUGCAUGAGCACAAGCUUUCACUGGUUGAGAACCACUUGGCUCGGAUAGAAGGAAGGGUAUUAGUGAACAUGUUCGAUUUCCUGUCCAAAGAGCUGGUGAGGCUUCAGGAAGAAAGGAAGAUCCAUGCUUUUGCCAUGCUGGCUGAGAGGCAACGGCGCAUCCGGGAAGCAGAAGAGAGUGGACGCCGCCAGGUAGAAGAGAGGCGCCGGCGGGAAGAAGAUGAGAUCUUCAAACAGGUGAUUAAAGUACACCAGAGUACUGUUGAUUCUUACCUGGAAGAUGUUAUCCUGAACAGCAUGGAGAGCACAGCUGAAGAACAAGCCAGGGAAGAGAUUCAGAAGGUGGCUGUGGAAAUCAAUGACAUUGCUUAUGAAAUGGAAAGCCGCCGAACUCGUCUGCAAUCAGAAGAGAUUGUAGCAGAGCUGGUUUAUGGUUUCCUGAUACCAGAAUUACAGAAAAUCUCUGUCAAGGAGAAAGUGAGGCAGUUCCAGCGGAAACACAUCAGUGCUGCUCAUCAGAUCAUCCACAGGAGCACGGACAUAGUAGUGGCUCAGAACUCUUCACUGGUGGGACAACAGGCAUUGGGUAAUGGAGAAACUGUGAGCAAGAUACCAGAGAGUCCUUCUCCUGUGGCAGCCAGUUCUGCUCUCAGUGGAACAGCUACUGAACAGAGUGUGGCAGAGGUUAUAGAGAGCCCUUAUGUUGUCCUAGCCAGCCAAGUAUUGUAUGAUACACUGCAUGACGAGACCCAGCAGAGAGGGUUAGUGGUGAGCCAUUCUGCUACAUCAGACAGGCAAUCUCAGGCGGAUGUAGCCCCUGCAAAGAGAGAAGAUGAGUCAGGGGGAGAAUAAAACAGAAAUGAAAGAAUGCUUGCCACGCUGGCCAGAGCUCAUCAGCAGAGGUGACCAUGCAGAGCUCAUCAGCAGAGGUGACCAUGAUGGAGUCCCAGAAUCGCAAAAGAGCUCCAGCAUGGACCGAACGGGAGGUACGGGAUCUGAUCGCUGUAUGGGGAGAGGAAUCCAUGCUAUCAAAACUCCAUUCCAGUUUUCGAAAUGCCAAAACAUUUGUCAAAAUCUCCCAGGGCAUGAAGGACAGAGGCCAUAACAGGGACCCGAAGCAAUGCCGCGUGAAACUUGAGGCAAGCCUACCAGAAAACCAGAGAGGCAAACGGCCGCUCCUGGUCAGAGCCCCAAACAUGCCGCUUCUGUGAUGAGCUGCAUGCCACUUUAGGGAGUUCAGCCACCACUACCCCAGCCGUGUUGUUUGACUCCUUCAAUGUAGAUGGAGGCAACACAGAAGCAGGUUUUGGGGAUGAGGAAGAUGAUGAUGAUGAAGUUGUAGAUAGCUCACAGCAAGCAAGCGGAGAAACCAGUUUUCCCGACAGCCAGGAACUGUUUCUCACCCUGGACCUGGAGGCAGUCCCCCCCGAACCCACCCAAGGCUGCCUCCCAGACCCGCCAGGUGGAGAAGGGACCUCUGCUGCAUGUGUUUCAAUGAUCACAGGAUCUUCUCCUUCCCAGAGGCUAGUGAAGAUUAGAAGGCGAAAAAAACGCACUCGUGAUGAAAUGUUCUCUGAGCUCAUGCUGUCCUCCCACACUGACAUAGCGCAGACGAAUAUGUGGAGGCAGACAAUGUCAGAGUGCAGGAAAGCACAAUAUGACCAGGAGGAGAGGUGGCGGGCUGAAGAGAGUAAGUGGUGGGCUGAAGCUGAAAGGUGGUGGCAGCAUGAUGAGAGGAGGCAGGAUUCAAUACUGAGGCUGCUGGAGGAUCAAACCAAUAUGCUCCAGCAUAUGGUUGAGCUGCAGGAAAGGCAGCAGGAGCAUAGACCCCCGCUACAGCCCCUGGGUAACCAACCACCCUCCUCCCCAAGUUCCAUAGCCUCCUCACCCAGACGCCCAAGAACGCGGGGGGGGGGGCCCUCCGGCCACCCGGCCACUCCACCCCAGAGGAUUGCCUAAGCAACAGAAGGCUGGCAUUCAAUAAGUUUUAAACUUUUAAAGUGCUGUGUGGCCUUGUCCUUCCCUCCUCCACCACCCCUCCUGGUGCUUCUCUCCUCCACCACCGCUCCUGGGCUACCUUGGUAGUUAUCCCCCUAUUUGUGUG